rnacentral:snoRNA from 1 species
UAGUGAGGAUGAGAUAGAGAGAGGGGAUGAGAGAGGAGAGGAUGGGAGGGAGGAGUAACAAAAGUAAAAACAAAAACUUGAAAGUGAAAACAAUUUAAAAUAGAUUUCAGUUUUUAAUUUUUGUCUUCACUUUUGUUACUCCUCCCUCCCAUCCUUCACUCUCAUAUUCCCUCACAAUCUCAUCUCCACUCU